CGCGUAGGCGGCCAUUCAAGUCGGGGGUGAAAGCCUGUGGCUCAACCACAGAAUUGCCUUCGAUACUGUUUGGCUUGAGUUUGGUAGAGGUUGGUGGAACUGCGAGUGUAGAGGUGAAAUUCGUAGAUAUUCGCAAGAACACCAGUGGCGAAGGCGGCCAACUGGACCAACACUGACGCUGAGGCGCGAAAGCGUGGGGAGCAAACAGGAUUAGAUACCCCCGUA
rnacentral:rRNA from 1 species